AGUGAACGCUGGCGGUAGGCCUAACACAUGCAAGUCGAACGGCAGCACAGUAAGAGCUUGCUCUUACGGGUGGCGAGUGGCGGACGGGUGAGGAAUACAUCGGAAUCUACUUUUUCGUGGGGGAUAACGUAGGGAAACUUACGCUAAUACCGCAUACGACCUACGGGUGAAAGCAGGGGAUCUUCGGACCUUGCGCGAUUGAAUGAGCCGAUGUCGGAUUAGCUAGUUGGCGGGGUAAAGGCCCACCAAGGCGACGAUCCAUAGCUGGUCUGAGAGGAUGAUCAGCCACACUGGAACUGAGACACGGUCCAGACUCCUACGGGAGGCAGCAGUGGGGAAUAUUGGACAAUGGGCGCAAGCCUGAUCCAGCCAUACCGCGUGGGUGAAGAAGGCCUUCGGGUUGUAAAGCCCUUUUGUUGGGAAAGAAAAGCAGCAGGUUAAUACCCCGCUGUUCUGACGGUACCCAAAGAAUAAGCACCGGCCAACUUCGUG
rnacentral:rRNA from 1 species